AGUGAACGCUGGCGGCGUGCUUAAUACAUGCAAGUCGAACGAUGAAGUCCUAGCUUGCUAGGAUGGAUUAGUGGCGCACGGGUGAGUAAUAUAUAGUUAAUCUGCCUUGCACUGAGGAACAACAGUUGGAAACGAUUGCUAAUACCUCAUACUCCAACUUUACAUAAGUUAAGUUGGGAAAGUCUUUUCGGUGCAAGAUGAGACUAUAUCGUAUCAGCUAGUUGGUAAGGUAAUGGCUUACCAAGGCUAUGACGCGUAACUGGUCUGAGAGGAUGAUCAGUCACAUUGGAACGGAGACACGGUCCAAACUCCUACGGGAGGCAGCAGUAAGGAAUAUUGUGCAAUGGGGGAAACCCUGACGCAGCAACGCCGCGUGGAGGAUGACACUUUUCGGAGCGUAAACUCCUUUUGUUAGGGAAGAAUAAUGACGGUACCUAACGAAUAAGCACCGGCUAACUCCGUG
rnacentral:rRNA from 1 species